GAUGAAGAACGUAGCGAAAUGCGAUAAAUAAUGUGAAUUGCAGAAUUCAGUGAAUCAUCGAAUCUUUGAACGCACCUUGCGCCUUUUGGUAUUCCGAAAGGCACACCUGUUUGAGCGUCAUGAAUACCUCAAUCUCCAUCUUUUCUUCGGAUUGAUGGGUGACUUGGAUGUUGAGCCCUGCUGGUAUGCUAUAUCAGCUGGCUUUAAACUUAUUAGCCGGCUCUGUACUGGAUCGGUUUGACUCGACGUGAUAAUAUUAUCGUUGAGGAUGCAUGUCUCAUGCAGCCGGAAAGUAUCAAAGCAGCUUCUAGCUUGCCUUUAGUGCACUUUUACAUUUUAGACCUCAGAUCAGGUGGGACUACCCGCUGAACUUAAGCAUAUCAAUAAGCGGAGGA
rnacentral:misc_RNA from 1 species